AUUGAACGCUGGCGGCAGGCCUAACACAUGCAAGUCGAGCGGAUGAAGAGAGCUUGCUCUCUGAUUUAGCGGCGGACGGGUGAGUAAUGCCUAGGAAUCUGCCUGGUAGUGGGGGAUAACGUCCCGAAAGGAACGCUAAUACCGCAUACGUCCUACGGGAGAAAGCAGGGGACCUUCGGGCCUUGCGCUAUCAGAUGAGCCUAGGUCGGAUUAGCUAGUUGGUGAGGUAAUGGCUCACCAAGGCUACGAUCCGUAACUGGUCUGAGAGGAUGAUCAGUCACACUGGAACUGAGACACGGUCCAGACUCCUACGGGAGGCAGCAGUGGGGAAUAUUGGACAAUGGGCGAAAGCCUGAUCCAGCCAUGCCGCGUGUGUGAAGAAGGUCUUCGGAUUGUAAAGCACUUUAAGUUGGGAGGAAGGGCAGUAAGUUAAUACCUUGCUGUUUUGACGUUACCGACAGAAUAAGCACCGGCUAACCUCGUGCCAGCAGCCGCAGUAAGAC
rnacentral:rRNA from 1 species